AGUGUUAGAAGCCUGGAGCCUUUCAACAUUGUUACAGACACUUCGGCCCAUCUCAUCUCAGCUGGUCCUAGUUGACCACGUUCAGCCCAAAUCCAUAGACAGCGACUUAUCGGGAAGCACCACGGCUUCCUCCGGCAACUGCUCUGCCCGUGACCACGGGAAAGGGCAGAGAGUCGUGGAGACAGCCCAGCACUUCACGGAAACCAGCCUCCCUGGCUGCUGUCUCGGUGCAGAAACCCUAUAGUCAAAUACCGCCCCCCCCACCCCCGGGGCCGUCUCCUCCCUCUCAUCGGGUACAAGAUACAAAAACCCUGGAAACACUUUCCACCUGACUCAGGCACAGCUUCCACCCCGCAGACCGAAGAUCAUCAAAUGGUUCCCUGGUGCGCUGUACACUCUGCUCACACGUGACUGCACAGCUAAACACCCAAGAAAUCACAUCGUCGAGCUCACCAAUGAUACAACACUGGUGGGGCUCAUCACCAACAAUGAUGAGACAGCCUACAGAGGAAGGUAGAAGAGCCCGAGGCUUAGUACCAGACAAACAGCCUCUUCCUCGUCGACAAGACAAAAGAGAUGGUUAUCGACUUCAGGAAAACUUGCCCUACUCAAACUCCUCUACAUUGGCUGCACAGGAAGUGAAAACUACAGGCAGCUUCAAACUCCUGGAGUGCACAUCUCACACAGCAUCCCACACAGUCACAAAAGCUGACCAACACCUCUCCUACUUCCUGUAGAGAGCUGGACCAGCCACGUCUAUACUGUCAUCAUUCUACAGACGCGCAGUAGAGAGGGUCCUAACAAUCUGCGUCGUCACUGCGUGGGACAGAGACUGCACUGUGGCGGGCAGGAAGGCCUUACAACGGGUAGGACACGCUGCUGUCAAGAACCCGCCGUGGAAAGGUGCCGGAGAAAGGCAAAGAGUUUUGUGAAGGGUCCCACCCUCCCUGCUGGUGACCUGUUUGUCCCACUCCCAUCGGUGAAGAGGCUGCGAGGGACCUCCAGACUCGAGGAUGGUUACGGGAUCAGACGUGGAGAGAGUGAGCAGUUUCAAGUUCCUGGGUGUCAAGAUCUCUGAGGAUCUAACCUGGUCCCAACAUAUCGAUGCAGCUAUAAAGAAGGCAAGACAGUGGCUAUAUUUUAUUAGGAGUUUGAAGAGAUUUGGCAUGUCAACAAAUACAUCAAAACCCUCUAUAGCUGUACCAUGGAGAGCUUUCUGACAGGCUGCAUCGCUGUCUGUUAUGGAGGGGCUACUGCACAGGACCGAAAGAAGCUGCAGAGGGUGGUAAAUCUAGUCGGCUCCAUCUUGGGCACUAGCCCACAAAGUACCCAGGGCAUCUUCAAGGAGCAGUGUCUCAGAAAGGCAGCGUUCAUUAUUAAGGACCUCCAGCACCCAGGGCAUGCCCUCUUCUCACUGUUACAAUCAGGUAGGAGGGACAGAAGCCUGAAGUCACACACUCAGCGAUUCAGGAACAGAUUCUUCCCCUCUGCCAUCCGAUUCCCAAAUGGACAUUGAAUCUUUAACUUUUUAAAUAUAUAUUAUUUUUAUGUUUUUGCACGGUUUUUAAUCUAUUCAAUAUACGUAUACUGUAAUUGAUUGACUGAUUUUUCUCUGCUAGAUUAUGUAUUGUAUUGAACUGCUGCCACUAAAUUAAUACAUUUCACAGCACGUGCUGGUGAUCGUCAGCCUGAUUCUGAACCUGAUAAAUUGUCGAGAAGCUUGGUGGUUCUGGAGCCUGGUGGUAUGAGUCUUUUGUA